rnacentral:rRNA from 1 species
UAGGGAAUCUUCCGCAAUGGACGAAAGUCUGACGGAGCAACGCCGCGUGAGUGAUGAAGGUUUUCGGAUCGUAAAACUCUGUUGUUAGGGAAGAACAAGUACCGGAGUAACUGCCGGCACCUUGACGGUACCUAACCAGAAAGCCACGGCUAACUACGUGCCAGCAGCCGCGGUAAUACGUAGGUGGCAAGCGUUGUCCGGAAUUAUUGGGCGUAAAGCGCGCGCAGGUGGUUCCUUAAGUCUGAUGUGAAAGCCCACGGCUCAACCGUGGAGGGUCAUUGGAAACUGGGGAACUUGAGUGCGGAAGAGGAAAGUGGAAUUCCAAGUGUAGCGGUGAAAUGCGUAGAGAUUUGGAGGAACACCAGUGGCGAAGGCGACUUUCUGGUCUGUAACUGACACUGAGGCGCGAAAGCGUGGGGAGCGAACAGG